CAUACCUAUUCGAAGGGAUAGGGUCGGUUUGGCCGGAUUUCACACGGGUGUUGCAUGGCUGUCGUCAGCUCGUGUCGUGAGAUGUUGGGUUAAGUCCCGCAACGAGCGCAACCCUCAUCCUUAGUUACCAUCAGGUUAUGCUGGGGACUUUAAGGAAACUGCCAGUGAUAAACUGGAGGAAGGUGGGGAUGAUGUCAAGUCAUCAUGGCCCUUAUGGAGUGGGCUACACACGUGCUACAAUGGUGAUUACAAUGGGCUGCAAGGUCGCAAGGCUGAGCUAAUCCUAAAAAAUCAUCUCAGUUCGGAUUGUUCUCUGCGACUCGAGAGCAUGAAGUUGGAAUCGCUAGUAAUCGUGGAUCAGCAUGCCACGGUGAAUACGUUCUCGGGUCUUGUACACACUGCCCGUCACGCCAUGGGAAUUGGUUUCACUCGAAGCU
rnacentral:rRNA from 1 species